AGCCUCGCCUGGCAGCCUCACCGGACCUGUCAGACCGCUCUUAUCAGCUGGACGGUCUCUUUGGGAGACUCAGUGUCACCAGUAAUCCCGCUUGUUGAUACCAGUGUGGUCAAGGUUUAAAACCAGAGUCCUCCAAGUCCUCCAAGUCCUCCAUGUCCUCCAUGUUCUCCGCUGCUCUUUCGGCUCUCGCUCUCUCGCUGGCCGGAAUGUAGUUGUCCUCGAUGAAGCCGUCGUCGUCUUCCUCGCUCACGGGAGGGACGCGGUGAGGGUUGAUCCCACGUGCCCCGUGCACGUCAAAUUCCACCUCCAGCCCUGGAAGCAACAAGAGUUAUGAGGCAUGACAACCAUCUAAAGGCAAGUCCGAUAUGUCAUUCUAACUGAAAGAAUCAUCAGUCUUUAUCCACCCGUCCAUUAUUUAACGGCUUACAGGGUGAGAUGGGGGGGGGCGAUCAAAGCCGAAUGAAGAAUGAAAGCUGUCACAAUUCCAGCCCGUUGACAAAUGAGCUGGAAUUUCUAUGAAAAUCUUAUUUUCAAAAGAGCCUUUAUAAUUAUAACAGUUUCCUCAAGGCACCAGCAGAG
ensembl:lncRNA